AUUGAACGCUGGCGGCAUGCUUUACACAUGCAAGUCGAACGGUAACAGGUUAAGCUGACGAGUGGCGAACGGGUGAGUAAUGCAUCGGAACGUGCCCGGUCGUGGGGGAUAACGCAGCGAAAGUUGCGCUAAUACCGCAUACGAUCUGAGGAUGAAAGCGGGGGACCGUAAGGCCUCGCGCGAUCGGAGCGGCCGAUGUCAGAUUAGGUAGUUGGUGGGGUAAAGGCUCACCAAGCCAACGAUCUGUAGCUGGUCUGAGAGGACGACCAGCCACACUGGGACUGAGACACGGCCCAGACUCCUACGGGAGGAAGCAGUGGGGAAUUUUGGACAAUGGGCGAAAGCCUGAUCCAGCAAUGCCGCGUGCAGGAAGAAGGCCUUCGGGUUGUAAACUGCUUUUGUACGGAGCGAAAAGGUCUCCUCUAAUACAGGGGGCUCAUGACGGUACCGUAAGAAUAAGCACCGGCUAACUACGUGCCAGCAGCCGCAGUAA
rnacentral:rRNA from 1 species